rnacentral:lncRNA from 1 species
UUUAUUUAUAUUUAUUGAACUAUAGUUGAUUUACAAUGUUUUGUUAGUUUCUGGGGUAUGACAGCUAUUCUUUUUCAGAUUGUUUUCUGUUAUAGGUUAUCAGAAGACAAUGAAUAUAGUUCCCUGUGCUAUAUAGUAGGACCUUGUUUAUCUGUUUUAAACAAGGUAAUUUGUAUCUGCUAAUCCCAAACUCUUUAAUUUAUCCCCUCCUUCCAAUUUGGUAACCAUAAGUUUGUUUCUUAUGUGUGUGAGUCUGUUCUUUUUGGCAAAUAAAUUCAUCUCUAUCAUUCUUUUUUAGAUUCCACAUAUAUGUGAUAUAAUACUUGUCUUUUUCUGUCUGACUAACUUCACUUAGUAUGCCACUUCAAAUAAAGCAGUUAUUGUUUUAAGUCCCUAAAUUUCAGGGUUUUUUAAAUUUUCCUCAAGCAGGGGUUGAUGACAGGAGAGAAUCCCAGCUCUGCUUCUCAGCUAGACUAGAAUUGGCUCCAAGGGUGGGGGUGGGAGGUGGGGGCGGGCCUGUGCUGCUAAUUGAUAGACAGGGCUGGCCACUGAGCACAGCCUUCAACCACCUUGCCCUGGGAGAACAAACAAGACUUUGAUGGAUGUCCCACCACCUCUGAAGCUGCAACAGGACCACUGACACACUGGUGGGGAGCUCCUCAAAGUGUCUUCAGAACAGGAGGGGGGCACCCCCACCACCACCAAUGCCUGGCCCCUGCACCCCUCCCCCACACCAAAUCAGCAAAAUGGCCCAGAAAAUCACCCCCAGCUCUCCACCCCCCAGAACACAAGGUUCCACUUUAGGCUAAGGGUUUUUCCAACCAUGACCCACGAGGGUCCUUCCAGAAACAGAUUCUUUCCCUCUGGGGAGGGGGAAGUCUGUGCAAGGUGACAGGAAAACAGUUCAUGAUCAGAGGUGACAUAGGAGGAAGCACGGGGAUGUGAAUCACUGGAAGAUGCAAAUAACUUCAGCCAGGUUAGUUGCCUUGGCAACCAGGUAGAGCAGCAGAGACAAUGCAUGAAAGUCAAAUGGACUAGGCAUGGGGAUGGGAUACACAAUGCUGGUGUCCAGUGUCCUCUGUGAUCCUAUAUCCUCAAGCAGUGCCCAUCCUCACUGGCUGAGAACUUGUGUGCUCUGAUAGUGGGCUCAUCAAUGUGAACAGGACAGUGUCCAGAUGGUGCACUGGUCCACCCUGAACUUUUCUCCAGUGGGAGAGGGUCACUUCCUCGGUCCAUCAGGUGAUAGAGUCAAGGCAGGUGCUGCCAACCCUGGAGUUCUUGGAGCAAAGCUUCCACCUGGAAGGUUGAGCCCCUGGAAGCUGCCAGGCCACAGGCAUGACAGCCAAUGCCAGGGCCCAGUGUCUCAGAGGGAAGAGGAUAACAGAGUCCUCCCAGCCCCUGGACCAGAUGCUUGGGUAGGGCCUGAAGCCAUCAACCAUACAGCUUUCC